UACGGGGGGGGCAAGCGUUGUUCGGAAUUACUGGGCGUAAAGGGCUCGUAGGUGGCCAACUAAGUCAGACGUGAAAUCCCUCGGCUUAACCGGGGAACUGCGUCUGAUACUGGAUGGCUUGAGUUCGGGAGAGGGAUGCGGAAUUCCAGGUGUAGCGGUGAAAUGCGUAGAUAUCUGGAGGAACACCGGUGGCGAAGGCGGCAUCCUGACCGAUACUGACGCUGAGGAGCGAAAGCCAGGGGAGCAAACGGG
rnacentral:rRNA from 1 species